ACUCUUUUACUUUCAGUUCCUCUUAAUUCAAGCUCUUCAUUUCUGGAGCCCCUCUUACUUGAAGGAGCUACUUUUAGAGCUCUUCCUACUUCAAAGAGCUCAAGGGUCCUCCACCUCUAGAGCCACUCCUACUUUAAGUAGGUCGAGGGCCCUCUCAACCUUUAGAGUUCCUCCUACUUUAAGGAGCUCAAGGGCUCUUCACUUUCGGAGCUCAUACUUCAAAUACCUUAAAGGCAUUUUACUUUCACAGCUCCUCAUAUAUUAAAGAGUGAACAAAUUGACAGAACUUGAAGAGACUCGUAAUUAAUGCAUCUAGGCAACAGAUGUUUUAUAAUUUAAAUCCCUCUUAAGGACCUCUACCUCCAUAACUCCUCUUACUUCAAGGAGCUCAAGAUCCCUCCACCUUCAGAGCUCCUUUAAGGGCCCUUUACCUUGAUAGUUCUUUCUAAUACAAGAAGCUCAAAGACCCUUUACCUUCAUAGUUCCUCUUACCUUGGGGUUCUUGGUUGUAUAAAUUGCUCGUAUCGAGGAGAUCCUUUCUACAAAUAAACCUCAGAGAUGAAAUGAAGGCUUCUGCGGAGUUCUUCGCUACGGAUAAACCUUAGAGAUUAAUGAAGGCCUCUAGGGAGUUCCUCUUUUAAGGAUAAACCCUGGAGAUGAAAUGAAUGAUUCUAAGGAGUUCCCUUACAAAUAAACCUCAUAGAUGAAAUGAAGGCCUUUAGGGAGUUUCUCCAUCAGAAAAACCCCAAAGAUGAAAUAAAGACCUCGAGUAAGUUACUUUGUAUAGAUAGACCUUUUUUGAAGGGAGUUCAUUUCUAUAAGAUGGUGUUGGCGUCUUAGGGGUGCCCAAAUGAUUUAAUUUUAGUGGGUGGGCCUGGGCGGUUUAACGUGCUUAGACAUAAAUUGUUACCCUUACAUGUAACCAAUCUAAGUAGUUGAAAAAAAUGUUUUGUGAAGUAUCGUGCUUGUUAGAAAUAAAAGAGAAAGAGACAGAUGAAACGUAUAUAUAUAGGUGAAUUGAACGCAUAAACACAACACAUAAAACACCUAUAUAUAUAUAUAGGUGAGGAAUAGGGGUAGGUGAGUGUUGUGCAAGUUAGGGUAACUGAUUGAUGACCAAGAUAUCUACGUAUGGUAAGUGGGUAGGUGGAGGUGGCUACGGUAAACCCUAGUAUUAUAUACAAUAUAAUCUAACACUCCCUUCAAAACCAAGGUGGAUUAAAUGAACCAUCUUGAGUUUGGAAAUGAGAUCUCAAAAGUGGCCUGGCGGAAACGAUUUGGUGAAGACAUUUGCUAUCUGAUCAUGAGAAGUAAUGGACCGCAACUCUAAGGUCUUUUAAAGAAGAUAAUGACGAAUAAAAUAACAAUCGAUCUCAAUGUGUUUGGUGUGCUCGUGAAAAACAUCAUUGGGUGCAAUUUGGAUUGCACUCCUAUUAUCACAAUAUAUAGGAGUGGCAGUGGAUGAAGAAACUCCCAUGUACUGAAGGAGCCAAUGCAACCACAUAAGCUUUAAAGUAUUGUCAACAAGUGCCAUGUACUCAACUUCCGUACUAGAACCAGCAACCACAAUCUAUUUCUUGUUGUGCCAAGAGAUAAGUGAAUCACCAAGAAAGAAACAAAAGCCUGUGGUGGAACGACGAUUUGUAGGGUCUCCUGCCCAGUCUGCAUCUGAAUAAGCAUGGAGAACAAGUGAUGACUGAGAAGAAAAAUGAAGCCCAUGAAGCAUAGUGUCUUUGAGACAGCGAAUGAUGCAAAGAACUGCAGCAAAAUGAGUAGAUCUAGGGGCAGUCAUGAACUGACUGACAAUAUGAACAUCAUGAGAGAUAUCUGGGCAGGUAACAGUGAGAUAAACCACACUACCAACCAAUUAUUGAUACAAUGUACCAUCCCGAAGAGAUUCGUUAUCAUGUAAAUUGAGUCCGUGUUGUGCUCGAGUCGUGUAUCAACAAUCUUGUUAUCAAUUAAGCCUGCUUUUGAAAGAAGGUCUGAUAUGUAUUUUUCCUGAAUAAGGUAUUAACCGUCUGUAACUUUAGUGAUCUCAAGACCAAGAAAAUAACUAAGGGGUCUAAGAUCCUUCAUCUCGAACUGACGACUUGAAAACUGUUUAAGUUCCUUAAUUCCUGGAAUGUUUCUGAUUUUUCUCAUUUUCUAUUUUCUGGAAUUUUUCUAAUUUUUAAGGGUAUUUUCGUCUUUUCACUCUUGCUUGCAGGAUACCGUGGGGUGUGCUGGGUGUGUCCGAGGGUUAGUUGGGGCAUUCCAUCGAGUUCAGGACUCUUGGAAAUGCACCAGUUGCCAUUUUGGCAUUUUUCUGUUUUUCAAGUCGGACGGUCCCGUGUGGGACCCGCUACCGAAAUUGUCGUGUGUGGGGUUUUUAAUUGGGUCCAAUUGCAUUUCAUUCAUUUUAUUUCAUGUGUUUUAUGUGGAUAUAAUAUGGUUUGUAUGCAUAUUCAUUUGUGGUGCAAAAUAAAUGUUAAAAAGAAAAGAUUUUUUGGUGAUGGGACCUACCCACCACUAACCUUUCAUUUUUGUGGUCAAGAGGCCACAUUUGUGUGAUACCCCUCGAAUUUGAGACACGGGUUGAUCAGACCAAAGUCCAAACCUGAGGGAAUAUCAAACAAUUAAUAUUUAAAACGAACACGAAAUACAAAAAUGAAAUAAGACAUAAAUAAUUAAGAGCUGAAAUAAAUCUAAGUUUAAAAAUCCUUGAAUAAAAUAAAAUUAAAAUCCAGAAAUCCAAUCCUCCAUAAAACCUCCAAUAAAUAAACAACUCGGGAAUCCAUCUCUAGUGGACCCCUAAUAUAAAUCCAAACUGAAAUGAAACUACUAAAAGAAUAUCCAAAGUAAACCAUGGAGAGAAGUCCUACGUUGUCAGAAGAGUGAGUGAUAGUCUCUGCUCAGCACGAUCAAGCCUACGACUGGAACUGUCGUACACCUGAAAAAUAGAAGUGGGUCAGGCCCACGAACAAGUUCUAUCCUAUUACAAUCCAAGCAGAGACUCGAUACGCAUAUACAUCCUAACCAACUCAACAAUAACUAUAUAGUCCGUAUAUAUAUAUAUAUAUAUAUAUAUAUAUAUAUAUAUAUAUAUUAAUACUAAAGGACUCUCACUGGACUACAGGCCAAUUUCAACCUGAAUAGAGGCAACAUGCAAAACGCACCAAAAGUGGGCAUGUGUAUACCUAAGCCUAACAGGGUACAUCUCCAACCAUCAUAGCCAGCUAUGUAUCCCAAUGCAUAUACGCGCCCUAACCAUCGAUCCUAAGACUCAAGCUCAUAUCGAGGUACCAUAACAAAUAUAUUUAAAAUCCAUCCAGAAUCCAUAGUAGUGCCGCUCAACCAUUCGUUGCCUUAACACUACAAAUCAAUAGGAUUUAACUUUUAGUUAAUCCAUUCCUUAAUUCCAUAGUAAGUAGGACUUAGCGUUUUUUAGCUAAUCCCCCUAGUAUGCCACCGUCACAUACCGGUGCAUACAAUCCAUCCAUCUAGCAGUUGAUAAUACAGACAAGGAAUGUAAAUAUCAACUAAUCCAUACAUCCAAUAAUUGAUAAUUAAAAUAUCAAAUAUAAACAUCAAUUGUUCCAUACUAAGCAUGAUAAAACUUUGUAAUUUAACAGGCUUAUUUGAUACUACUCCGCAUAGUCCAAUAAUUGAUAAUACAGACCAUACAUGUAAAAAUCAAUUAAUUCCAAGUAAGCAUAAUAGAUUAUAUAAAUUCACAUGCUUAUUUUAUAACACUGGAGCAUAAUUAAACUAUAGAAUCAUUCUCGAAAAAUUGUUAAAAUUAUGUUGAACAAUUUAAAUUCUCCGCAUCCAAAAACAGUAUACCAAUUUGUGUAAGAAUCUUAUACUGUUCAAACUAUAAUACAAGGUGGAUUAUUAUGCACUAACAAGGCCCUUGCGAGUUUUAAAUAAGCUUAGGACACCUCUUAGAAUCUCCAGUAUAGCUUCUAAUUAAACUGGAACAUCAAAAUCCAAGUACAGAAGUAAAAUCCAUCGCUGAAAUUAAAAACAAACUGAAAAUCCACAAAGGAACAGGCUCCAAAAACGUGUAGAGCAGGCUCCAAUUUAAGGUAGAUGAGGCUUAACUUUUAGGUAGAAGAGGCUCAACUUAGGUAGAGGAGGCUCAACUUUUAGGUAGAGGAGGCUCAGCUUAGGUAGAAGAGGCUCAACUUUUAGGUAGAGGAGGCUCAACUUAGGUAAAAGAGGCUCAACUUUUAGGUAGAGUAGGCUCAACUCCCUUGGAGCCGCCUCUACAUCAUGUGGAUUGAGCCAGCUCCACUUCAAUCGAGCCGCCUCCAUUGAAGGGUGCAGGCGCCUCCACUCUUCCCAGCCUUCGUCUUCCCCGACGCCGGCUGUUUUCUGACUUUCUGAUUGUCCUUGCUAAGGUUCCGAACCUCUGUUCUAGGUUCCAGAUAGUCCCAACAAUUUAUUAAAUUCAUUAUUCAUCAAUUAACAUCAAUUAAAACAUGAAUUAUGUAAGGAAAUUUACAAACAAGCAAACACCAAUUCAUGUAAAAGCAUACUGUUAUAAUUGAAAUUAACAUGCGAACCAGAUUAAUCUUUAAUGUCUAUUUACUCCUGGAGUUAUGUAAGGCAUGUAAAGAACAUGAGUCAAAGAGAAAGAGUUAGGAAUAGAACUUGCCUUUGAGAUUUCAAUUCAAAAUCUCAGCGUCGUCUUCCUAAGGUUUCCGGCGAAUGCUCUGUCUUCUCCUUGGUUUAACCCUCGAACACACCCCUUUAAUCUUUCCUUGGUUUAGCCUUAGUCCUAGCUAAACCCUAAACAAAGUAUUAUGUUCCUCUCUGUUUCUCUCCGUCUCUCUGUGUACGUGAACAGGGUUUACAAACCUUUGGCAUACAGUUCUAUUUAUAGGCUUCACUAAAAACCCUAAUUCUAGUUUAAUUUAGAGACAGGAAAAAAACUAUUCAUAUUAUAUCUAAGUCAGCUAAAUGUGAAGAACCUAAAACCCUAAAAAAAAUAAUAAAAAAAACAAUUAAACAAUUAAAUCAAAUUUGCAUGUAAACAUAUAUUUAAGACAGAAAAUAAUUAAAACAAAUACUUAAUUAAAUAAUUCAAAUAUAUACAACAAAUAAAUAAAAUAAAUACUAUAAUUAACUCAAUUAAUUUACCACAAUUUAAACAAAUAAGCAAACAGCCAAAUAAGCCCAUAAAAAUGCAAAAAUUACAAUAAAACCAUAAAAUAAACUACCGAAACUAUCCUUUUAAAAUUAGGGGUAUUACAAUUUGGCCUCGCACUUUCUCUCUCCCCGUAAGGAUCUCUCUCCCUCACUUUUCUUCUCUUUUUCUUUUCGUUUCUUUACCAAAUUCAAGCUUAAAUUACUCUCUCAUCUUUUGGACUUUUUGGGUGCCUUUUGCGGUGAAUUGGAGAGCUCGGCGAGAUCUUCAAGUUGAUGUAAGCAAUUUCAGCUUUUGCCAUCCCUAGGAUUUUCGAGAUUUUUGGCUCAUUUUGGAAGAUUUUCAUCUAGCUUUGAGGUUUGGGAAAAGAAGUGGCAGACGAUGUUCCACCACAGGCCUAGCUUGGACUAUGGGAUUAUUUUGUUAUUUUGUAUCUAAUUCACAUGAACCUGGUGAACUCCAAUCUGUUGUAAUUAGUAAUGAAACUCAUAUAUGCUAGUAGUUGUAUUUUGUUGCAUAGAUUACAAACUUGAUGUAUCUGUCGUAUAAUUCAUGUAAAUGAUUUUGGAACUAUGUAAAGGACAUAUAAAGUUCAUCUUUUGAAUGUAUAGGAUAUGGCACAUCAUCUUGCA